rnacentral:rRNA from 1 species
UACGGGGGGGGCAAGCGUUGUUCGGAAUUACUGGGCGUAAAGGGCUCGUAGGCGGCCAACUAAGUCGGAUGUGAAAUCCCCAGGCUUAACCUGGGAACUGCAUCCGAUACUGGAUGGCUUGAAUCCGGGAGAGGGAUGCGGAAUUCCAGGUGUAGCGGUGAAAUGCGUAGAUAUCUGGAGGAACACCGGUGGCGAAGGCGGCCACCUGGACGGUAACUGACGCUGAGACGCGAAAGCGUGGGGAGCAAACAGG